CCAAAAGGGAAAGCCGAACGAACAAGCGAACGAUACCAAAGAACGCCAACCACAACAAACGAAAGAAGCAGCGAGAAGGACGAGACGAACAGGGAGAUAGAACUGGCGUGUUGCUGCCCUCACCGUCAGCGACUGCCUGGCUACCUCCGUGCGUGUACGCGUCUGUCUUUUGAGGUCGUCGACACGUGCUGCGAGUGAGUGUCCCCCGUUGUCUUUGGUGUGCUCUCUUUCUCUCUCUCCCUCUCUUGCCUUGGUGUGUCUUGUCUUGCGUCUCCCCAAACUGUCAACGACGAGCCACGGAGAGGCAGAAACGAAAAGAAACAGAAGAAAAAACGAAAAGCGUGAAAAAAGGGAGCAAACAAGACACUAAAACACACGUGCACACAUACACACUCUGAACCGUAUAUCUCCCGCAGCAGGCACAGCGUGCCUUUUCUCGCACUCUCUCUAUCUCUUUCUCCCACCUUCCCCACUUCAACGGACAGCGUGCAACGAGCACUGCGCAUACACGUGCUGCGACGAACUGCUUCAG
rnacentral:misc_RNA from 1 species